AUUGAACGCUGGCGGCAUGCCUUACACAUGCAAGUCGAACGGCAGCACGGGAGCAAUCCUGGUGGCGAGUGGCGAACGGGUGAGUAAUAUAUCGGAACGUGCCCGGUCGUGGGGGAUAACGUAGCGAAAGCUACGCUAAUACCGCAUACGAUCUACGGAUGAAAGCGGGGGAUCGCAAGACCUCGCGCGAUUGGAGCGGCCGAUAUCAGAUUAGGUAGUUGGUGAGGUAAAGGCUCACCAAGCCGACGAUCUGUAGCUGGUCUGAGACGGACGACCAGCCAC
rnacentral:rRNA from 1 species